rnacentral:rRNA from 1 species
GCCAUCCCAGUUCGAAUUGCAGGCUGAAACCCGCCUGUAUGAAGUUGGAAUCGCUAGUAAUCGCGGAUCAGCAUGCCGCGGUGAAUACGUUCCCGGGCCUUGUACACACCGCCCGUCACACCAUGAGAGUCGGGAACACCCGAAGUCCGUAGCCUAACCGCAAGGGGGGCGCGGCCGAAGGUGGGUUCGAUAAUUGGGGUGAAGUCGUAACAAGGUACC